AUUGAACGCUGGCGGCAGGCCUAACACAUGCAAGUCGAGCCAGCGGCGGACGGGUGAGUAAUGUCUGGGAAACUGCCUGAUGGAGGGGGAUAACUACUGGAAACGGUAGCUAAUACCGCAUACCAUCAGAUGUGCCCAGAUGGGAUUAGCUAGUAGGUGGGGUAACGGCUCACCUAGGCGACGAUCCCUAGCUGGUCUGAGAGGAUGACCAGCCAAAUUGGAAGUGAGACACGGUCCAGACGCCUACGGGAGGCAGCAGUGGAGAAUAUUGCACAAUGGGGGCGAUCCUGAUGCGGCCAGGCCGCGUGUGUGAAGAAGGCCUUCGGUUUGUAAAGCAGUGUCAGCGGGGAGGCGUUACCCGCAGAAGAAGCACCGGCUAACUCCGUGACAGCAGCCGCGGUAAUAC
rnacentral:rRNA from 1 species